UAAAUCUGAAUUUAAAACCUCGAAAGAUCGACAACACGGUAUCCGUCAUACAUUAUCCGAUCAACUCCGUUUCAAGGUAUGUUCUUCCUUGUGCCUUCUAGUCCGUCUUCACCAUUGGGAUUUGAGAGAUAAGCUUAGAAAGCCUCGAACAAAAAGCUAAGUAUUCUUCUCUUACAGUGAUCGCUAGUCAGCCUUGUCCAAAUCAUGAUGCAUUUGAAUAAAAGGGAAUGUCACUACUUGAGACCUUUCAACAUCUUCUAUUGCUUUAUCAUUUUCACUCGCAUUUGGAAGUUUGUUGUGUUGUCAUCUUUAAAAUGUUCGUAUUUAAAUGGAAAGAGUUUGGUC
rnacentral:lncRNA from 1 species